UAUUCUUUAUUCAGAUUGUGGGGCUGCAGUUUGUCAGCGAUCAGCUGUGAUUCUCUGGUCUCAGCUCUGAAGUCCAACCCCUCCCAUCUGAGACAUAUGUACCUGAGUCAGAACAAGCUGCAGGAUUCAGGAGUGAAGCAUCUGUGUGGUUUUCUGGAGAGUCCACACUGCAGCCUGGAGGAUCUGAGAUUGGAGCGCUGCAGUUUGUCAGCGAUCAGCUGUGAUUCUCUGGCCUCAGCUCUGAAAUCCAACCCCUCCCAUCUGAAAGGUCUGGACCUGAGUCUGAACCAGCUGCAGGAUUCAGGAGUAAAGCAUCUGUGUGGUUUUCUGGAGAGUCCACACUGCAGCCUGGAGACUCUGGGGUCAGACAUCAUGUUUUAUUUGUGUGCUGAGAUGAAAAUGAUGUGAAAGUUGUGGUGUCACUAAACUGAUAUUAAACUGAUCCACACUGAGGAUCUUCAUGGUAAGAUCUCAGUUAUUUCAGUACUUUAGUUCAUCAGAUGGUAAAAACAGUAAA